CACCGCCCGUCACACCAUGGGAGUCAGUUGUGCCGGAAGCCGGCGAUCCAACCCGCAAGGGGGGUAGCCGUCCAUGGUAUGGCUGAUGACUGGGGUG
rnacentral:rRNA from 1 species